AUGAGAUUGUUUGUGUUAUUUAUGAAUUUUAAGACCAAUUUGUGGAGAGUACGGUGUGAAAUGAUCUUUUCCAUGACAGCAUUCACAAGAAGAUUAUAAAGAUUAGCUGGGGUUUUUUUUAAGGAGUAAACAACAUCUGUCGGCUACGUAUGGGAUACUUUGCAAUCAUGUAAGUUUGCCAUGUGAGUGAUGUCAAGUGAAAAAAUGAGCCCGCAGCCCCAAACAUCCAAAA